UACGUAGGGUGCGAGCGUUGUCCGGAAUUACUGGGCGUAAAGGGCGCGUAGGCGGCCAGCACAAGUCAGUUGUGAAAUCUCCGAGCUUAACUCGGAAAGGUCAACUGAUACUGUGCGGCUAGAGUGCGGAAGGGGCAACUGGAAUUCUUGGUGUAGCGGUGAAAUGCGUAGAUAUCAGGAGGAACACCGAUGGCGAAGGCAGCCUUCUGGGCCAACACUGACGCUCAUGCACGAAAGCGUGGGGAGCAAACAGG
rnacentral:rRNA from 1 species